UGGGAUCCCCGGCACAUUCAAGGCGAGGACUUUAGCCACUAGGCCAUCAUGCUGGACCCUGUCAUUUCUUGUUUUGCAGGUGGCAGAAAUCAAGUCAUGCAAUGGACUUGUUAAAGGUCAUGCUUGCAACAUCCACUCAAAUGCAGACUCUACUUUUUGACCCCAGGAGUUGGAACGCGGCACCUUCCCUUCCUCUCAGCCCUGCCUCCUCCUGCUGAACGGACUCAAUAGGACUUUGUUGUUUUGCCUUUUACUCCGGAGGGAAAGAAGCAGAUGAUGAGGAGAAAAUAAUGAAUGUCAAAGGAAAAGUAAUUCUGUCAAUGCUGGUUGCCUCAACUGUGAUUGUUGUGUUUUGGGAAUAUAUCAACAGCCCAGAAGGCUCUAUUUUGUGGAUUUAUCAAUCAAAAAAUCCAGACAUUGGUGACAGUAACACUCCGAAGGGCUGGUGGUUUCCAAGCUGGUUUAACAAUGGGACUCAGAGUUAUCAAGAAGAAGAAGACGACAUAGAUAAAGAAAAGAGAAGAGAAAAGGAACAAAGAACAGAAGAUAACGAAGAAGAGCUUCAGCUCUGGGAAUGGUUUAAUCCAAAGAAACGCCCAGAGGUUGUGACAGUGACCGGAUGGAAGGCGCCAGUCGUAUGGGAAGGCACUUACAACAGAGCCAUCCUGGAAAAUUACUAUUCCAAACAGAAAAUCACUGUGGGGUUGACAGUUUUUGCUGUUGGAAGAUACAUUGAGCAUUACUUGAAGGAGUUCAUCACAUCUGCUGAUCGAUACUUCAUGGCUGGCCACAAGGUCAUAUUUUACAUCAUGGUGGACGAUGUUUCCAGAAUGCCUUUGAUAGAGCUGGGUCCUCUACGUUCCUUCAAAGUGUUUGAGAUCAAGCCGGAGAAGAGGUGGCAGGAUGUCAGCAUGAUGCGCAUGAAGACAAUCGCGGAGCACAUUUCUGCCCACAUCCAACAAGAGGUGGACUUCCUCUUCUGCAUGGAUGUGGACCAGGUCUUCCAAAGCAACUUUGGAGUGGAAACCCUAGGCCAGUCAGUGGCUCAGCUGCAGGCCUGGUGGUACAAGGCAGAUCCUGACGAGUUUACCUAUGAGAGACGGAAAGAAUCGGCAGCGUACAUUCCAUUUGGACAGGGGGAUUUUUAUUACCAUGCAGCCAUUUUUGGAGGAACACCCCUUCAGGUACUCAACCUAACCAAGGAGUGCUUUAAGGGAAUCCUCCAGGACAAGCAAAAUGACAUAGAAGCUGAGUGGCAUGAUGAAAGCCACCUGAACAAGUAUUUCCUGCUCAACAAACCCACUAAAAUCUUAUCCCCAGAAUACUGCUGGGAUUAUCACAUAGGCCUGCCUUCAGAUAUUAAAGUUGUCAAGAUAUCUUGGCAGACAAAACAAUAUAAUUUGGUUAGGAAUAAUGUCUGACUUUAAGGUGUACCAGUAGGUUUCUGAAAUUGAGAGUAUUAUUCUGGCUACUUCUGCAGAAAAGUAACAAUUUAACUUAAAAAUCUACUAACAGAACACCAACACAGCAAACACACACUUAUUUCUCCUUGUAGCUUUGAGCCUUGUCAUAUGGGGAAAAUGAACCUGUGGUAAUCAUGUGUAAAUUCCCAGUGGUUUCUUAUCUGUUCUGGGUUUGGGGAAAAUACUGUCAGGUGAAUCAAAAGGAAUCUAUCAUAGGCAAAGAAAAAGCCAGAAAGACUACACGUAUCAGAUACUGGAGUAAAGUGUGCCAAGGGAAGUAUUUGGCAGCAAGAUAUGGCUAAAGGGGUUGGCCGCCUUGGUUUCUGUGUCUUCUUGUGUUUUGGGGUGAGUUGUAAGCAACAGAGUUGCUUUACAGCAGGUGAACUCAGCAGUAAGGACACCAUCUUGGUCAUUCAAAUGAGCUUCAAAGCAGAUUGUUUUAGGCCAUUUGCAUCCUCUUCCUUUGCCUCCUCAGGAUGUUGUUUGUGAAGGAUUAGUGGAGGUCCCCAGUGCUUGUCAUGGUGUGUGUUCCACGUUCUUGGGAGUCAGUGAGAACUGAAGACAGAACAUCCCCACCUGAGCCUGCCGUGGAAUAGCAGAGAGAGUGGAAAUAGAGGUGGGCUUGGCUUGUCGUUGUGGGGCAGUGUCACCGUGAGUGACACAGAGCAUGGGGUUGGCACUGGACUGUGUUGCACAUCCAGACACUGAACUGGAAGCGUUGUGUUCAGUCUCCUUGAUGGUGUGACUAAGACAGCAGCAAGCACUUGAAUGGAUGGAGCUUCCUGCCUUGCUCAGGUCACACGCAGUCGGCUGCACUCUCCCGCUCCUUGGUGAGGAGAAGGGGAAGACCCAAAGCAGAUGGCCUCAAGGAGUUAACAUUUUCAGUCCUUAGCAUGCCGCUCGUUCUAAACCUCAGGAUGCCUUAUGAUAACCAGCUUGGAGAGCUGACAGCAACCAGUGGCCUGGAGAAAAAACCCUUCUCAAGAUCCUUGUGUUUCACCCCGCUUCAUUUGCACCGUGGAAGUAUAACGACCAGAAGUAUUUGACGAAACAAGUUAACUGAUACCCAGGCAUCUGACUUAACCACAUUCAGAUCCUUUCUCUUAAGAGAAGCUGUGAAAUCCUACAUAUUAUUUGAAUGAAUCAAAUGUCAGAAAAGAAACUGAUGACAUCACAAUUCACAGAAGACUGAAAUAACCAACACAAACUGGAGUGCCACAGCCCCAAUACUGGCUGGCUGAGUCAUGAGUUUCCAAGGGACUCACAAUGUUUUGUUUGAAAACUGUUUGCCCUCUGAGGCUCCUCCACAUAUCUUUUCAAACUACUGUAUCAUAAAUGUUAAGAAACACCAGUGAAGAAUCUCAAAAUUUUAUGAAGCAAAGGAAAGAAUGAGACUGAAAAUAAUAAUUCUAUCAUCAUUGAUUUUAUUGUCUUUAUGUGCUUUGUAUAGGAAGUAUUAUUUCAGCACAAAGAAACUACAGAGGGUGUAUGAGUGUUGGUAUCUGAAAACUCAGCCUAAGUUACAGCCUUCGGACUGGUUCUAUCCUAUGUAAGAAUCCAAAUCUUGCACGUAAGAGGUGAACAGAUGGCAACACUACCAAGCUGGCAUUCUAAAUAUUGGAGAAGAGAUGGAUCUUUGAUUACAUCCUUAAAAAAGAAUUAGGUGGUGGUUAACCCAUGGGAUCAGACAUUUGGACUCAUCUUCCAUGAGAGUUUAAGUCACAUCAGCUCAAAGGUUCUAGAAUAACAACAGGUCCAAAAUGUGAGGGUGCACUUGAGAUUGUUUGGUUGGUUGUUUUUGUGUGAGAGAGAGCUGGAGCCCAAAGGGGGCAGUUGGGAUGUCUGUGUACUUCAUGCUUUUAACAGCACCUUUUCUCUGGCCCCUCGACUUCCACUUGCUGCCUCUACCCACCCAACUUCUACCCUCACGCCCUGGGCGUUAACGCAUUUCCCUAAUUAAAACUGUGAAAGGAGACACUCAGGCUACGAUCAUUAUUCAAGAUCGUGGCUGGUGUCUGUCUCAUCCUCUCAUGACAUCAUAACCUUUGUCAGAGACUAAUCAGGGCACAGAAAGACCACCACUUACAUGACGAAUUAUUCAUUACAAUUAUGCAUCGUGUAGUGGCAAGGAUGCAUUCUGGAAACCGCCUCAUUAGGAUGAUUUGGCAUUGUUGGAACAGCUCAGUGUGCUUACACACAGAUGGCUAUGAUGUCAUGAGGGGAUGCAAUUGUAAGAGACCACUCUCAUGUGAAUAGCACGUGACUGCAGUACAGUGAUCAACAAGGGAGGGAAGCCUGCAGAGAACUUUAAGGUAUCACGGAGAUAAACAGCUAUGGGAACUAUUUCCCCUGGGGCUGAGGGCUAAAAGGAAGAAUCUGGAAUUAUUUAACCCAGAGAGGAAGCUCCUGGAACUUGAGGUCGGCUGCUGCUCAGCUGGUGCUGCUGUCUCCAACCUUUGUGCGGGCAGCUCGUGCUGGGAAGCAGCACCUCUACGGAGGGGUACCACGAGGCUGGUCUUGAGGGCGUUAGAAAAACUGAAAAUCGACUUCAACUGUUGCUCUACUAGGCAUUUGAUAGUAUUGGGGGUGAAGAAGUGUUGCUGAGAUAGGACUUCCCGGCACAGGAAGCACACAAGAAACCCACACAAAACAGGAAAGAGUGUUUCUUCCUCUUCCCUCCGCCUUGCAAUGGUCCUCGCAUGGAGGAAAUAGCCUGCCAAGGCUCCAGCUGGCAAAGGAGAAGCAGCAGUCUCAACUCCAAGCUGAUGCAGCAGUCUCGGGUGCAGGUUUACUCAUGAAGACAACAGCCUGACAUGCUCGCUCCCUCACAGGACAAGCAGGGCAGAUCCCCCUUACUUAAGGUGACGAUUUUUCACACAAUUGCACAAAGGAGAAAUCCGUAUAA